AUAUUGCACAAUGGGGGAAACCCUGAUGCAGCCAUGCCGCGUGUGUGAAGAAGGCCUUCGGGUUGUAAAGCACUUUCAGUAGGGAGGAAAGGUAAUAGUUUAAUACGCUAUUACUGUGACGUUACCUACAGAAGAAGGACCGGCUAACUCCGUGCCAGCAGCCGCGGUAAUACGGAGGGUCCGAGCGUUAAUCGGAAUUACUGGGCGUAAAGCGUGCGCAGGCGGUUUGUUAAGCGAGAUGUGAAAGCCCCGGGCUCAACCUGGGAAUUGCAUUUCGAACUGGCGAACUAGAGUCUUGUAGAGGGGGGUAGAAUUCCAGGUGUAGCGGUGAAAUGCGUAGAGAUCUGGAGGAAUACCGGUGGCGAAGGCGGCCCCCUGGACAAAGACUGACGCUCAGGCACGAAAGCGUGGGGAGCAAACAGG
rnacentral:rRNA from 1 species